rnacentral:rRNA from 1 species
GACGAACGCUGGCGGCGCGCCUAACACAUGCAAGUCGAACGAGAGAUGAAGAGCUUGCUCUUCAGAUCGAGUGGCGAACGGGUGAGUAACGCGUGAGGAACCUGCCUCAAAGAGGGGGACAACAGUUGGAAACGACUGCUAAUACCGCAUAAGCCCACGGCUCGGCAUCGAGCAGAGGGCAAAGGAGCAAUCCGCUUUGAGAUGGCCUCGCGUCCGAUUAGCUAGUUGGUGAGGUAACGGCCAACCAAGGCGACGAUCGGUAGCCGGACUGAGAGGUUGAACGGCCACAUUGGGACUGAGACACGGCCCAGACUCCUACGGGAGGCAGCAGUGGGGAAUAUUGCACAAUGGGGGAAACCCUGAUGCAGCGACGCCGCGUGGAGGAAGAAGGUCUUCGGAUUGUAAACUCCUGUUGUUGAGGAAGAUAAUGACGGUACUCAACAAGGAAGUGACGGCUAACUACGUGCCAGCAGCCGCCGUAA